AUACGUAGGGAGCAAGCGUUGUCCGGAUUUACUGGGUGUAAAGGGUGCGUAGGCGGCUUGGUAAGUCAGAUGUGAAAUCUAUGGGCUCAACCCAUAAACUGCAUUUGAAACUAUCGAGCUUGAGUGAAGUAGAGGCAGGCGGAAUUCCCUGUGUAGCGGGGAAAUGUGAAGAGAUAGGGAGGAACACCAGUGUAGAAGGCGGCCUGCUGGGCUUUAACUGACGCUGAGGCACGAAAUCGUGGGUAGCAAACGGGAUUAGAUACCCUGGUAGUCCACGCCUUAAACGAUGAUUACUAGGUGUGGGGGGACUGACCCCUUCCGUGCCGGAGUUAACACAAUAAGUAAUCCACCUGGGGAGUACGGCCGCAAGGUUGAAACUUAAAGGAAUUGACGGGG
rnacentral:rRNA from 1 species